rnacentral:rRNA from 1 species
UACGUAGGGGGCAAGCGUUGUCCGGAAUCAUUGGGCGUAAAGAGCGUGUAGGCGGUCCGAUAAGUCGGCUGUGAAAGUCAAGGGCUCAACCCUUGAAUGCCGGCCGAUACUGUCGGGCUAGAGCCCGGAAGAGGUGAGUGGAAUUCCUGGUGUAGCGGUGAAAUGCGCAGAUAUCAGGAGGAACACCGAUGGCGAAGGCAGGUCUCUGGGCCAUAACUGACGCUGAGAAGCGAAAGCAUGGGGAGCGAACAGG